UGACAAUUGAGAGUCCCUGCUUAAGCUUGAAUAAACGACCCUUGUGUGCUUACAUCGGAAACGGCCUCCUGGUGGUCUUUGGGACCUCACAAUCUGGGCACAACAUUUGGGGGCUCGUCCGGGAUCCCAAGACCUUCAGGACUCCCGUACCGGAGGGUCAACGCCGGCUGCCUCCAAAGUGUGCAUGAGGACGUCUGGCCUAAAUUAGAAGCCUUAUACCAAACUGGACCGCCUCCCGAGCCCCAUCGCUAU
rnacentral:lncRNA from 1 species